rnacentral:lncRNA from 1 species
CCAAUUCUCUCUCAAAUUCAAGGAAGAAACUAGGGUUCAAGCUUCAAGUCUCCUUUUUCCUCCAUUGCUUUUGGGCUUUGAUCAUCAAGGUAUGUGAGAAUUCACCAAUGGUUCUGUUAAAUUAGGUCUUAGGCCUAACUCACACCCCAAAAGCUAGCUCAAAGGGAGGAGGAUUGCCCAAGCCUUAUAAGGAGUCCACCCAUCUCAUUAACCACCGAUGUGGGACUUUUGUCAUUCUUUAACAGGUUCAAUUCAUCCAUUGGAUCCCAAAAGAUUUCCAAGUUCUAAGUCAAUUUCAUCAAGUUUGAUUAGGGUUUCAUUCAAUUCUCCAUGGGUCCUAUUUGUUAUGAUUCAAUUGUUUGAUUUUAAUCUUAUUAUGAAUGAUUUGAUUCAAUUACAC